rnacentral:sRNA from 1 species
AUGUACCACGCGUCCACUGNGUGAGCGCGCGGUCCUCACCCACCUGACGACUGCUCGCUACGUUUUGUUCGUC